GCCCGAUUAGCUCAGCUGGUUAGAGCGUCGUACUAAUAUAACCACAAGUUAUCUUGAGUCAUGCGAAGGUCAACAGUUCAAUCCUGUUAUUGGGCA